rnacentral:tRNA from 1 species
GCGUCGAUGGCGGAGUGGUCAAUCGCACUUGGCUGUAAACCAAGCGACUUCGGUCUGCGCAGGUUCGAAUCCUGCUCGGCGCA